GCUUGUCAUUAAUGAUCUUCUGGGAUCCACUGGGGACUUACCGGAUAUAUCUGUCACGGACGGUCACAGCGCAGUUGGACAUGCUGCUUUACCAGAAUCCAGUGAAUACAGUGGAAAAAUCUUUAGGAAUCCUGGAUCACUUUUUGAGACACUCGAAAAGAAGGCCUUGGAGGCACCAAUGUUUACUCUGCUUUUGCUGACUCUAAGCUAAGAAGAGGACGAGGGCCAUAAAACAAUGGAAGGAUUGGGAAUAAAGGAGCUAUGCCAGAAGUUGUCUGAAGAAUUCUCUGACAUGAGGGAAGAUGGAAUGAUGAAGAAGAAAUGGAAAGAGCAAAGUGUAAAAAAAUAGCUGCAACUAUAUAAUGAGUUCUCCACUUUUUGUAGGCAAAGAUCAGGAAACAACCUGGAGAAUAAAGACCCUGGACAGAUUUUCAAGCUAGUGUAAAAAUGUUCAGCACCUCACAAAUAGGAGGGCACCCUGGGACAAGCCAGCUAACUACAGCGACCUUUGCAGGAUUAUGCUCCUGCAACAGCCUGCACACACUGGCAUGAACCCUUGCACAAAGAACAUAAGCAGUGCCCUGAGGCUUCUGUUAUUCUUGUCUGGAGAACUGAAACAUGACUAAUAUGAGGUGCAACGAACAUGCUCUUUACUCCCUUGUCUGGCUAUUGAAAAUACACCACAAUUUUCCCUUUUCAGAGGCCUAGAUUCAGAGAAGAAAGAUAAGACCAGAUCCACACAAACCUGUAGGCAGGUUAACUGCCUUUCCUACUUUUUAGCAAUUUCAUAAUAUUGUCUCAUGAGGAAAAUUCAUAAAUCCAAUUUGGCAAUUUGAGAGAGGAAUUUAUAACACAUAAAACAGUCCACAGGAUUAGAUUAAGUUUAUUUAUAGCAGAUUAUGAGGAGCUUGCUAU